rnacentral:rRNA from 1 species
UACAGAGGUCCCAAGCGUUGUUCGGAUUCACUGGGCGUAAAGGGUGCGUAGGUGGUCGGGUAAGUCCGAUGUGAAAUCUCCAGGCUCAACCUGGAAAUGGCAUUGGAUACUAUCCGGCUUGAGGAGUGGAGGGGGGACUGGAAUUCUCGGUGUAGCAGUGAAAUGCGUAGAUAUCGAGAGGGACACCAGUGGCGAAGGCGAGUCCCUGGACACUUCCUGACACUGAGGCACGAAAGCUAGGGGAGCAAACAGG